rnacentral:lncRNA from 1 species
AGAAAGCAGACUGGGCUAUUGUGAGAAAGGCUAUGAUAAAUUUGCAACAAUUUUUGACUUAAGAUUUCCUUUUCUUAAGGUUUCUUUGAAUGAUAUGAGUAUAGUUACCAAGUCUCUCUAACUUAACAUUUAUAUGGAAUUUUUUUUUUUUUUUUUUUGGUACCGGGGAUUGAACUCCAGACCUUGCGCUUGUGAGGCAGGAGGCAGAACCACUGAGGUAAAUCCCUUGCCCUGGAAUGUUUUUAAAUUUUUUUCACAAUGUAGGCAAAUGGCCAUAAAAUGGAACAAAAUAAAAUGAGGUAUGUCUGUGCUGGAUUUUAUAUUUAUUUGUGUAGUUACCUUUAUUUCUUCACAUGGCGUUGAUUUACUGUUUAGCGUCUUUUCAUUUUAACCUGAAGGACUCUAUUUAGUACUUCUUAUAGGGCAGGUUUGCUAGUGAUGAGGACCUCAACUUUUGAUUAUCUGGGAAUGUCUGAAUUUAUGCUUCAUUUUUGAAGAAUUGUUUUGCAACACAUAGAAUUCUUACUUGACAGAUUUUUUUCUUUUAUGACUUUAAAUAUGUCUUUCUAUUGCCCUAGUCUCCUUGACUGCUGAUGAGAAAUUAGCUUGUAUGUGACAAUCACUUUUCUCUUACUGCUUUCAACCAAGCCACAACUGUGUUCCUUUCCAACAAUUCAUCUGAUUCACUAUCCUCUCAGUGCAACUGGAAAAUUAUGAUGUGCUCAUCUUUCAAUCCCCCUACAGAUUAUUAUCAUCCUUGAAUGAGGAAAGAAAUGUAAAAGUGACAUACCUGAAGUCAUACUGUGAGCUAGGUCUGCUACUCAUAUGUCUGAUGGUUUAUUUCAUUAUAACACUGUGUAAAUGGCCUUGCAAGAUGAUGAGAGGACACAGGUAUAUUCAGAGGAUGAAGCAGAAUUGAGAGAAGUGUUGUGCCCAGAUUGCAAGGUCCCCAAAGACCACCAAGGAACCGAUUCCGAUGCAAACACACGAGGGUCGUUUAUUCAAGCUUGAGCAGGGACUCUCAACUGUCACCGAUGCAGCAGGUCAAGAUUGAGAGCCCUGACUCUAAAACACCAGGGGUUUUUAUAGAGGUUACAGCAAGGCGCGGGGUUUUGAAAAGGCGGG